CCCUUAGACGUUCUGGGCCGCACGCGCGCUACACUGACCAGUGCAACAAGCAUCCGUCCUUGGCCGACAGGCCCGGGCAAUCUUUGAACGCUGGUCGUGCUGGGGAUAGACUUUUGCAAUUUUUGGUCUUCAACGAGGAAUUCCUAGUAAACGCAAGUCAUCAACUUGCAUUGAUUACGUCCCUGCCCUUUGUACACACCGCCCGUCGCACCUACCGAUUGAAUGGUCCGGUGAAGCCUCCGGAUUGGCGCGCACCUCGGUGCCGCCGAGAAGUUGGCUAAACCUUACCAUUUAGAGGAAGGUGAAGUCGUAACA
rnacentral:rRNA from 1 species